ACUGAAUAGAUACCCAGGUAGUCCACGCUGUAAACGAUGAUUACUCGAUGUUGGCGAUACACAGUCAGCGUCUGAGCGAAAGCAAUAAGUAAUCCACCUGGGGAGUACGAUCGCAAGAUUGAAACUCAAAGGAAUUGACGGGGGCCCGCACAAGCGGAGGAGCAUGUGGUUUAAUUCGAUGAUACGCGAGGAACCUUACCUGGGCUCGAACGUAAGAUGACUGUAGGUGAAAGCUUACAUCUCUUCGGAGCAUUUUACGAGGUGCUGCAUGGUUGUCGUCAGCUCGUGCCGUGAGGUGUCGGG
rnacentral:rRNA from 1 species